AACGAACGCUGGCGGCAGGCUUAACACAUGCAAGUCGAACGGGUGUAGCAAUACAUCAGUGGCAGACGGGUGAGUAACACGUGGGAACCUUCCUAGGGGUACGGAACAACUCAGGGAAACUUGAGCUAAUACCGUAUACGUCCGUGAGGAGAAAGAUUUAUCGCCCUUAGACGGGCCCGCGUCGGAUUAGCUAGUUGGGGGGGUAACGGCCUACCAAGGCGACGAUCCGUAGCUGAUCUUAGAGCAUGAUCAGCCACACUGGGACUGAGACACGGCCCAGACUCCUACGGGAGGCAGCAGUGGGGAAUCUUGGACAAUGGGCGCAAGCCUGGUCCAGCCAUGCCGCGUGAGUGAAGAAGGUCUUCGGAUUGUAAAGCUCUUUUGCCAGGGACGAUAAUGACGGUACCUGGAGAAUAAGCCCCGGCAAACUUCGUGCCAGCAGCCGCCGUAA
rnacentral:rRNA from 1 species